AGAUAUAGUCCCUGGACUGGAGGCUCCCUGCUCUUCCAGUGAGUCAGCCACCGCCACAUCCUGUGUCCUAGCCCUGCGCCGGGCCUUGCCGCUCUCACCCCUGUUGCCACACACAUGCCCUGAGCAGUCAGGUCUCAGCAGGUGCUGCACCCUGUGGGAGCUUCGGGGCUGUCAGGGACCUCCGGAGUUGCUGAGCUCUUAGAUCCUGGGGCCCAGGAGAGGUCCCAAGAUGGGGGUGCCUGAGAUGACCCUGCCUGAUCACUUCUCUUUUUUCCACACUAAUUCCUACCCCUUAAGAGAACACCCAUUUUUUUUCCUAAAAGGCACCGGGGUUCCAACACUCAAGGCAGGAAGGUAAUACUCUUCACCCUGGCUGAGCCAGUCUCUGAAGCCAUGUCCUUCUUUGCAUCGUCUCGAAGCCAUAGCUUUCUAGGUCGGUCCACUGGCACUCAGAAUGCAUCUCCUUCUCUCUCUGCUCUACCUUCUGACUUGGUCUGGACAGGUUCUGAUAGAGCUGGUCACCCCAGCCAGGCAGGGCCAUCCCUAUGUUCUGUGUUGGAACCCAAGUAUGUAUCCUUUCCACGUCUAUCCUUGUCCUAGAUGGACACCUCCCACCCCUGGCUUUAAAAAAGAGGCCCCCUACUGUAGCAAUUGGCCUUGGUCUGAAUUGGGACCAGUCUCAGGUCACCACUGAUUAAACCUUCUUAUCCCAGAGACACCCAAUUCUAGAACGUGGUAUUCUAGACCUUUCUGGAGCCAUACUUCCUCCUGAAUCUCAGUUCUAGGACAUAGCCCAUGACUCUCAGCCCUUUCUUCCCGGAUGGAGCUAGGGCCUGUAUAGCCAUAUUAUUGUACUAGAGUAAGUUCUAGACCUACCCUUCCACUUUCUCUAGCAAUUAAAGGAUGAGCUAUGGGUAGAACUCAGCUAUGAUUAAUUAAAAACUGAUUGGCUCUGAGCUGUGCUUGGUGGCACACACCUGUAAUUCAGCACCCGGGAGGCUGAAUCAGACAGAUCCUGAGUUGGAGGCCAUCCUGGGCUACAAUAGCAAAACCCUGUCUCAAAAGCCAAUACACACACACACAUACACACACACACACACACACACACACAGAGAGAGAGAGAGAGAAAGAGAGAGAGAGAGAGAGAGAGAGAGAGAACUAAUCAGUACUGAACGGAUCAAGAACCACUUCUUGCUUUUCCUAAAUAAUUUUCUAAAAAUAGUCCCUCCAGAAUACUAACCUUACUUUUACAUGGUUUCUAGUUUCAGCAUUCCAACUAGGGUUCUGCCAGGGAGACAAGAGUCUGGGGAAAGAUACAGGAAUUCUGGAAGAAUAUACCUGGCUCCUAGAAGGGAAGCUGAGAGGGAGAAAAUGCCAUGGUAUGAUUGAACCUGUGUCUGAACACUUAGCUACCUCAGCAGGAAUUCCUUCCAGAUCCCUUUUAAAGCUGAGGACUUUCGUUCUGAUAUGGUAUGCUGCAUCUGUGAGGUAAAGGAGAGGAGGAGAAUCAGGAAAUAAAAGGCUAGCCUGGGCUACCUAGUGAGGUCAGGGCCAGCCUAGGCUAUGUGAGACCCUGUCUCAAACAACAGGAAGCUAAGGUCUACAAUGAGAAUAACUCUAGAAUUAAAAAGGACAAAUAGGGACACAGCCUUGACUCCCCCUCACAGCAGAGAGACCCCCAACUCAGCAAUAAGUUCAACUUCUCCGAGCCCUCUACAGGUCAGGCUUAGGAAACGAGGAGCCUCUUGGGCUCCCAGACCUCAUAUGUAUCCCCAGAGCUUCUAACUAAAUAGAAUUUACUUUACUUUACAGCUUUUAAACCUCAGGUGGGUUCUAAGUACCCAAAAAGGACCUGAAAAACGGAGAAAGCCAUGGGGAACCUCUAGUAAAAUAGGAGGUAGAUUCUGAGUCUAGCAGAUGUAGGUGGAAACGUCUAUUGAGGUCCUAAGGGAGGGGCUAGUGCUCAAAGACAGGUCACUUUUCCUCAGGCCCUUUUACUUCUGGCUUGUUGCAAGAGAUGCCCCCCUCCCUCAUACAAACCCCGCUCAGGCUCCGCCCAUCUCCUGGCACUGCUCUCAGGGGACGGGGUCUCCACUUCAUGCUUUCUGUAAUUAAAGAUGAUUUAUAC
rnacentral:lncRNA from 1 species